AGGGUGUCACAGGUUGGUAUCAGAGCUACAGGUUAUGAGUCAAUGAAAUAAGCCUAGAUUGUCGGGUUGGGUAGAGGGAUUAAGAUUAGAAGUGAGUGAUAGGUAGAUAGAACGUUGAGAGGUGAGUAUUGGUGACUAACAGGUAUUCUUAUUAUCAGAGAUUCUUAUGUAUGCGUUAUCUCAUGACUUUCAGAUAUUCACGAUGUCAGACCCUAUCAUUCCUCCAUAUCCCCAGUAUUCGGAGACUACAGUUAACGGACCCCCACCCCCUCAGAGACUUGAGCCUCACCCUCCUGUUUCACCCCCUU
rnacentral:lncRNA from 1 species